GAAGGGAAAGAAGGGGAGGAGAGGACAUUAUUACCUGAUAGAAAGUCCAGUGUGAGGUGGAACUUCAGGAGUCAGGUGGAGUCUAGGGCAAAGUGGAGCUCCAGGUAGAGGUGGAUCAGGCACGAGACAGGAGAAUCGAGAGGACAAGAGACAACGUCGCAAGGUAAGAUUUCUAUUGCCGCAGGAUGAUGCCCCAAAUAGGUCUCA
rnacentral:lncRNA from 1 species